UACGGAGGGGGCUAGCGUUGUUCGGAAUUACUGGGCGUAAAGCGCACGUAGGCGGCUCAGCAAGUUAGGGGUGAAAUCCCGGGGCUCAACCCCGGAACUGCCUUUAAGACUGUUGGUCUGGAGUCCGAGAGAGGUGAGUGGAAUUCCGAGUGUAGAGGUGAAAUUCGUAGAUAUUCGGAGGAACACCAGUGGCGAAGGCGGCUCACUGGCUCGGUACUGACGCUGAGGUGCGAAAGCGUGGGGAGCAAACAGG
rnacentral:rRNA from 1 species